rnacentral:rRNA from 1 species
UACGGGGGGGGCAAGCGUUGUUCGGAAUUACUGGGCGUAAAGGGUCUGUAGGUGGCCAACUAAGUCAGACGUGAAAUCCCUCAGCUUAACUGGGGAACUGCGUCUGAUACUGGUUGGCUUGAGUGCAGGAGAGGAAUGCGGAAUUCCAGGUGUAGCGGUGAAAUGCGUUGAUAUCGUUUGGAACACCAAUAGCGUAGGCAGGCUUCUGGGUGCCACUUGACACUGCUAGGACGAAAGCGUGGGGAGCGAAUGGG